rnacentral:rRNA from 1 species
UACAUGGGGUGCAACCGUUGCUCGGAAUUAUUGGGCGUAAAGCGCGCGUAGGCGGUUAAUCAAGUCGGAUGUGAAAGCCCUCGGCUUAACUGAGGAAGUGCACCCGAAACUGAGUAGCUAGAGUACUAAAGAGGGUCGCGGAAUUCCCGGUGUAGAGGUGAAAUUCGUAGAUAUCAGGAAGAACACCCGUGGCGAAGGCGGCUCUCUGGGACGGUACUGACGCUGAGACGCGAAAGCGUGGGGAGCGAACAGG